AGCUCUGUAAGCGUAUACCAAAGUUGUUGCAGUUAAAACGCUCGUAGUCGGAUUUUGGCAAUUCCGGAUGUGUGCGCGUCGUGCGCGCACUUUGCAGGGAUUGCUUUUGUGGGUGUGCGUGGGAUGAGGCAACUUUAUUGUUGAACGUCCCUACGCAACCACUCUUUACUGUGAGAAAAUUAGAGUGUUCAAAGCAGGCAAUUGCCGUGAAUACAUUAGCAUGGAAUAAUAGAAUAGGACUCUGUCUUAUUUUGUUGGUUUGUUAAUUCGGAGUAAUGAUUAAGAGGGACAGUUGGGGGCAUUUGUAUUUCGGCGCUAGAGGUGAAAUUCUUAGAUUGCCGAAAGACAAACUGCUGCGAAAGCGUCUGCCAAGGAUGUUUUCAUUGAUCAAGAACGAAAG
rnacentral:rRNA from 1 species